GACGAACGCUGGCGGCGUGCCUAAUACAUGCAAGUCGAACGCAGUGGGGACGGGUGAGUAACACGUGGGUAACCUCCCAUCAGAGGGGAUAACACUUGGAAACAGGUGCUAAACCGAUACUGAUGGAUGGACCCGCGGUGCAUUAGCUAGUUGGUGAGGUAACGGCUCACCAAGGCCACGAUGCAUAGGCGACCUGUGAGGGUGCCCAGCCACAAGGGAACUGAGACACGGUCCAGACUCCUACGGGAGGCAGCAGUGGGGAAUAUUGCACAAUGGGCGCAAGCCUGAUGCAGCCAUGCCGCGUGUAUGAAGAAGGCCUUCGGGUUGUAAAGGACUUUCAGCGAAGAGGCGUUACUCGCAGAAGAAGCACCGGCUAACUCCGUGCCAGCAGCCGCGGUAAUUC
rnacentral:rRNA from 1 species